rnacentral:rRNA from 1 species
UACGUAGGGUGCAAGCGUUGCCCGGAAUUAUUGGGCGUAAAGAGCUCGUAGGCGGUCUGUCGCGUCGGAUGUGAAAAUCCAGGGCUCAACCCUGGACCUGCAUUCGAUACGGGCAGACUAGAGUUCGGUAGGGGAGACUGGAAUUCCUGGUGUAGCGGUGAAAUGCGCAGAUAUCAGGAGGAACACCGGUGGCGAAGGCGGGUCUCUGGGCCGAAACUGACGCUGAGGAGCGAAAGCGUGGGGAGCAAACAGG